UCUCCGUUGGUGAGCCAGCGGAGGGAUCAUUACAGAGUUUUCACAACUCCCAACCCCUGCGAACCGUACCCAUUCUGUUCUCGUUGCCUCCGGCGGGGGGGACGGGGGGGCCCGAAACGGCCCCCCGCCCCGCCCGCCGGGGGCGGCGGGCCCUACGAACCUUUAUAUCUCAACCACCAGAAACCGUCUGAGAAAACAAACAAAAUAAUCAAAACUUUCAACAACGGAUCUCUUGGCUCUG
rnacentral:misc_RNA from 1 species